rnacentral:lncRNA from 1 species
AAUCUCCCAAAGAAGCCAGAAGGGCAGACCAAUGCCAUAAUGGAAGGAGGAGGAUAUAUGGCACGUCCAUAUGCUCCUAUGCCUUAUCAUCAGGUUUCCGCUGUCAUCCCAACACCCUAUCAACAACAAUAUCAGUAGCCUUAUCAAAAGCCAGCUUAUCAGCAACAACAUCAGAAUCAACAACAACAUGCUCUACCACAACGUCAACCUAACCAACAGAGGGCAAGGAGGCCAGAAAGACAUUUCGAUCCUUUGCCAGUACCAUACAAC